rnacentral:snoRNA from 1 species
CUGUCUCCACUACAAACGCAAGAAAAAGAGGGUCCUCACGUUUCUGUCUGUCAGGUUGUGGCAGCCAAGAUUGAAUGGGGGAAUACAGGA